CAACAUUACAAGUUACAACACAGUCACCAACGUAUUAUAAUACCUACUAACAUUUUAACCAGAAACCAGUGACACUAGUGACAGUAAUAGUGCAUAUUCCAUAUAGUAGUCAUAGUUUAGUUUUACCGCAAAGGGCGCAAAGCACAAUAUCUAAUGUUCAAUACUCGUGCGGUUUUAUGUCACAAGUUAUAACAUCUGUACCACAGUUUUUAAGAUUCCACACACGUGUGUACUAGCUAAUAAUUCGACAUUCGUGACCGUAAAUAAUUCAGUAUUUUAUUUUAUCAAGAUGACAAAUUAUUCGUUAAUUGAACAUAAGUUGCGUCGUUCAUA